AGGACGAACGCUGGCGGCGCGCCUAACACAUGCAAGUCGAGCGAGAACCAGGGCUUGCCCUGGGGAAAGCGGCGAACGGGUGCGUAACACGUGAGCAACCUGCCCCAAAGACCGGGACAACCCGAGGAAACUCGGACUAAUACCGGAUGCCCUCACCGGGCCGCAUGGUCUGGUGAGGAAAUGGAUUCCGCUUUGGGAUGGGCUCGCGGUCUAUCAGCUUGUUGGUGGGGUAACGCCUACCAAGGCGACGACGGAUAGCUGGUCUGAGAGGACGAUCAGCCACACUGGGACUGAGACACGGCCCAGACUCCUACGGGAGGCAGCAGUGGGGAAUCUUGCGCAAUGGGGGAAACCCUGACGCAGCGACGCCGCGUGCGGGAUGAAGGCCUUCGGGUUGUAAACCGCUUUCAGCAGGGACGAAAUUGACGGUACCUGCAGAAGAAGGCCCGGCCAACUACGCGCCAGCAGCCGCGA
rnacentral:rRNA from 1 species